AUGUGGCUCAGGCCCAGCCUUCAGCAAGAGUCCUAUUUGGAAAGCAAAACUGGCCCAGCAAGGGAAAAAUCACGCAGGCAGAGGCUGCAGCUGCUGCCACCUCCUGGGAGAAGACAGACUUCAGCUUCAUACCUGAGGCUGGUCCGAGUUCACCUAUGGCUUGGGCAAAGCCUCUGUUGGGAUAGGGCUGAAAUCUUUUUCUCACAGAAAAUAAAUGGGAUAUUCCCUUACUCAGCAAACAAAACAUGGGCUUCUUCUUUAAUUUGUUCUUUUUUGCCAAUGUUAUGCUGAAAGAAAAUAAGGGGGCUGGGGAUAUAGCUCAGAGGUAAUAUAUCUGGUUAGCAUGUAUUAAGCCCUGUAUUCAAUCACCAGCACUACCAAAAACAAAACAAAACAAACUCAAACAACAAUAACAAGGUUAUACUGAGUUAAUAUGGGAACAAUGAGAGUACAGAAAUAAUAGUAAAGCAGAACUGUAAGAUUUAGUCAUAUGUUAGAAAUUCCUUCUCUUGGCUUUCUGAACCCUAUGUCCUGAGGUGAUAUUAGGAAUAUAAACAAUUGGGGCUGGGGAUUUAGCUCAGUGGCAUAAGCACCUGCCUUGCAAGCAGGUGGUCGUGAGUUCGAUCCCCGGUACCGAUUAAAAAAAAAAUUAAAAAAAAAAAAGGAAUAUAAACAAUGGAGAAUUUUACAAUAGCCACAGUAUAUAUGACCUGCUGAAUAUUUACCUCCAAGAGUCUCAGUUUACUUUUGGGGCUAUUGUGAGAGUUGACAUAAUACAUGUAAAUUCUUGGUAUGCAAGAGAAGUUCGAUAGGAAUUAUAAAGAGCAAUUUCACUUAGCUAAUCUCCUUAGUGAUUUUCUUCAUUUAUUGACCAAAAAAAUGGAUCAACAAUCAUGCCCAUAAUUCUGGGCUGCCUUUCUGAUUUAUAGAUGAUCCUUACGCCACCUCUCUCACCUCUCUCUCUAUAUGUAUGUGUGUGUACAUGUGUGUAUUUUUUAAACACAAUUACGAAUAAGUGAAAAGAAAUUUAGGAGGAAAUAAGACACCCAAUUAAGGAAACAUUUCUUGAGUACCUACUCUAGGUUAGUCAUAAAGGAUUUAAAGAAUGAUAAUAUAGAUGAAGACCUCACACAAAAGUGACUCAAAAUUAGAAAUUUGGGUUCUAAAUCCAGAUCUUCAAAGAAAUCAGUUAUAUAUAUGACAGCUAAUGUUUUUGAUUAUUAGUUUUCUCAUUGGUUGAAUACCACUAUAUAGAGGGACAUUUUUUCAUUUACAGCAGAGGUUGCCAGGAAGACAGCACAUUGGAUGCUGUGUUGUCCUUCAGUUAUCCCGAUCAUGGAAAGCUGUUAAAGAGAUCAUGAAGUUUGAGUGGCCCUGGUAAGAGAAGGCAAGACCCUCACAAACUCUUCUGUCUGAAGCUUUUAUUUCCCUGACCAAUUAAUUAUGGGUGUUAUCUUAACCAAUCAUGUACAAAGCUAUGAAUGUAUUUUAGCCUACUUUGAGUGUUUUUUUUUUAUUCUUUGAUAUGGUUUGAAUAUUUGCAUUCAGUCCAAGACAUGCUGGUACUUGGUCCCAAUGCAACAGUAUAAAGAGGUAGGCCUUUUGGGGGACUCUUGAGGGUUCCCAACACUAGUAUUUUUAUAGAAGCUCUGAAGGAAACUAGCUAGGUUCUGUUUACCUUUCCAUUUCUUUAGCCAUGUGAGGACCUCUCUCCUUUGAAGCACCCUUCUCCUCUGGAAGAUGUAGCAACAAGGCACCAUUUCUGGGAGCAGAAAGUCUGGGCCCUCAGUGACACUGAACCUGCUUGCACGUAGAUGUUGACUGUUAGCCUCUGGAACUACAAGAAAUAAAUUUCUGCUGUUUAUAAAUUAUCUUGUCUCAGCUAUUUUAUUAUAUCAGUAUGUAAACUAAUAAGCAGAAAAACCUAAAAUUCCUGUCCUA
ensembl:lincRNA